GUCUUACAUCUGUUGACCUGAAAGGGUUCCUUUUUGCUGUGCUUGACCAUUAUGGAGAGGUUCGUGGAGCUGUACAAAAUCAAGAGCGGCAUAGAAAGGCUAACUAGGCUCAUAAGAUGCUUCGGAGAUGAUAGCCCUACACAAAGGAAGAGGACAGAGGACCUCAUUUUCUAAAGGAAGAUCCCUCACACACUUUCAAGACUGUGAAGCCGACAGGUAUUGAAGACACGUUUUCUAAGAGGAUGAAAGUUGGCAUUGCGAUGGUGAAAGAAGAAGACAUCAUCGAUGUGUUGGUUGUCCUUGAGGCAGCAGUAAUCCUGUCUAAUCUGAGGGAUGUCUCAAGUGCCAUUUCCAUGCUGAUGGGCCUUCUUUUUGCCCUCAA